GAUGAACGCUGGCGGCGUGCCUAAUACAUGCAAGUCGAGCGAACGGACGAGAAGCUUGCUUCUCUGAUGUUAGCGGCUGACGGGUGAGUAACACGUGGAUAACCUACCUAUAAGACUGGGAUAACUUCGGGAAACCGGAGCUAAUACCGGAUGAUAUUUUGUACCGCAUGGUUCAAAAGUGAAAGACGGUCUUGCUGUCACUUAUAGAUGAAUCCGCGCUGCAUUAGCUAGUUGGUAAGGUAACGGCUUACCAAGGCAACGAUGCAUAGCCGACCUGAGAGGGUGAUCGGCCACACUGGAACUGAGACACGGUCCAGACUCCUACGGGAGGCAGCAGUAGGGAAUCUUCCGCAAUGGGCGAAAGCCUGACGGAGCAACGCCGCGUGAGUGAUGAAGGUCUUCGGAUCGUAAAACUCUGUUAUUAGGGAAGAACAUAUGUGUAAGUAACUGUGCACAUCUUGACGGUACCUAAUCAGAAAGCCACGGCUAACUACGUG
rnacentral:rRNA from 1 species